GACAAGGAGGAGCUGGUCUUCUAAGCAAAAGCUUGGCCACGAGUAUGGUGGACUUUGAUGCCCGUGAGUUCAAAUUUCCACAUAAUCUUCUUCACUGGCCCUGUCUGGCUGUCCCCAGGGUCCAGUUUUACGCAUUAUGUUGUGUUAAGCCAUUUAUGGCUCCAGAGGAUAAAUGCUACCCCCAAGACAUUAUCUGUUGAGUCAUUAGGUCUUUAACACUAUGACUCAUUAAAUGAGCUCCUGCCAACCAGUGAAAUACCCAGGAAAGGGACACAGAACAGGUAUGUUGUGAAACUUAAACAAAAGAAAGGCAGGGAACCACCUGGCUGCAGACCAACAGGGAAGGGGCCUGGCAGCCCUGGAGGGAGCUCUGCUUGGAGCAGAGAGGGGCCAGAAGACAAACCUCAUCCCCGCAAUCUUCCACUCACCCUGCUUUCAGCAAGCUCUGUCCACUCAGGGCAGCUCCGGGAAGGUGGGGACUUGGUCUGUAUGACUUUAUUCCUUGGUCUGUAAGAGCUCACGCCCACCCCCAUGUGGGCACACUCUCACAUGUGCUGCUAGGCACACAAGGCCAGCUCUGCAGCUGCAGCUGUGACCUCCAGGUCCCAGGGGCCUCUGUCUAGGUUGUUCUUCAUCACUUCCCACGGCUUUCAGUCCCAAAUCUGAACUGCAGAAUCUCUCCAAGACCAGCCUGUCCUCUCACCACCCUCUACCCCUCCAGCCCACAUCUGUCCAGCAUCUCUCCCUGCCUCUGCCCCAUGAAGACCCCUGCUGUCCUCCUUCCUGCUCCUGUCUCUUUCCCUCUCCAGGCCUGCCCAUCUGUCUUGUCCCCUUCCCCAGUAUGCCCUCCCUCCUACCUGAUCUGUCCUUCUUCUCCCCCAGAUCUGUCACAACACUUCUCCCACUCAGUUCUGCCUUGCUAUGUGCCCCUACUCGGUCUUUGGGGCUGUUACUCUGUCCUCUGGCUCCAUCCUGCUCACUCCUCUAUCCCACAUCUGGAGCCACAUCGGGUUCUCAUUAGGAGGGACAGAGGUGAGCCUAUUCAUGGGGACUGAAAUGGGAUGUCAAUCCCCCUCCCGAACAUUAAAAAAUGUACCUGGUACAUCACAGGUGCUCGGUAAAUACCAAUAAACCAGUGAGUGCAUGAAUGAGUAGUACUGAAUAAGUAAUGUGGUAACAAUAACACUGGAAAGCACAGGAGUGGAGAGGACACCUGACAUCCUCAAUCCAGCAUAGUCUUUUUCUUUUUUUAAGUUUUUAAAUGUUUUUAUGUAUUUAUUUUGAGAGACAGAGAAAGUGCAAGCAGGGGAGGGGCAGAGAGAGAGGAGAGAGAGAAUCCCAAGCAGGCCCCUCACUGUCAGCACAGAGCCCAACACGGGCCUCGAUCCCACAAACUGUGAGAUCAUGACCUGAGCCAAGAUCAAGAGUUGGACACUCAACCAACUGAGCCACCCACGUGCCACUCAUCCUAGAAUAUUCUGCAGCACAGAGUAUUUCUCAGGGGGCUCUAACUCCCUAGAAACCCUGGGCCAAGUCCUUUGUGAUCAGUAAGCUCAUCCUGCAACAUCAUCCUGCAAUGCACCCAAACACUGGGCAAGGGGGAAUAACUGCUGUGAAUGAAAGCUGGUACCCGCCUUCAGGCUCAGGAAGCUUGGUGGAUGCAAGCAGCCCCUGACGGGAUCCUCAGCAUUAGUCAGCAUCGAUCCUGAACAUCACCCUCCUCCACCUGGGCUCCCGGAAGCAAAUCAGCACUGGCUGAGCCAGGUUUGGCUCUCAAGGUGGCCCUGCCACAUCAGGCCCUCAGUUAACCCACCGCACACAGCACAGGUCAUUAAGACAUCCUCGACCUGCCUGCCGGACCUACACCACCAGCUCACUGAGGGUGGCCUUCCGGCCAAGGCCAGGAAGCACAAGGGACAAAUUGAGGCAUGAGGUGCUACUGCCCUCUGCUGGCAGCUUCCAAAUAUUCCAGGCCGAUGCCAAAGAGAAGGCCGAACAGGCCAGAAAGGGCAUCCUCCCUCCUUGCACUCAUCCUUCCACUGGGGGACACACAGGAUUGGCCGUUCCCACGGGGCCACAGAACUGGCCACACCCAGGAGAGUCAGCCAGCUUGCAGAGAGAACAGCACAGAAGAUGAGAGAGGAAGAGGAGAGCAGAAAGAAGGAAGCUCACCAACCUCCCAAGGGAUGACCUUAACACCAUCCUUCUCUCUAUCCUGCAAAGAUAAAGAGUUGUCCCACUCCAACACACUGGACACCAUGUCAAAGAGGACAACCCCAAAAGGCAGGGCAGGGAAGGUAUGGGUUCCUUCCAUUUUGCAGAAGAGAAAGGUAGAGGCCCGAAGGGUUGGUGUCCCUCACCCACUGUCACACAGCCUGGCGUGUAAUAAGACCCACAACACAGGGUCUGCCUUCCUUGUCCAGGACUCUGACGUACAAUAUUAAACAAGUGUUUCUGGUCCCUUGUGACAUCCCACAAAGUCUGCAAUCACAAGACCUUGUACUGAAAAAAGCACAUGCCCCCCAACCCUAGACCUGACCCGUCGUUUGCCAACAGCCAGACAUGGUCUGGGAGAGGCUGGGUCUGGCCACCAUCUGUGUUCUCUGUCAUAGGCUGAAAAGCACACUAAACAGAGAUGAGCAGAGGUCCGAGAAAACAGAGCAUCUAGGAACAUGGAGACCUCCCCCCCACUCCCAGCACACCAGGUAGACGGCCCCCAGGAUGCUUACAUGUUGGGCUAGCCACCACACAGCUGCAGGUCAUAUGAUUGGUUUGCUUAACACCAUGACCCUGCUGCUUCCAACAAGUGACCAGCAAGGCCAUCACCAAGGAGAAGCCAAGGCCUUAGAUAAAGGCAGUUGGAGGCUCUGAGCUCACCACAUGCCCACAUCCUCUGUGGUUUGGAAACCUUGUUCCUCUUCUCCGCUGGAGACAGAUUAUGCCCGGCUCAGUGUCCCCAAACUAUCCACCUUCUGCUCCAUCCUCCCUGUUUCUUUUUGGUCUCCCACAGCCACUGCCCUAGCCACUGCCCUGUGCUGCCCCCCCUCCUUCCCUCCCCCAGACUACAGCCAGGGUCAAGGGCACCACUGGCCCUUCCAAGCAGGAUUAAACUUCCAAGCAUAUCCCUCAUCCUUGCUUCUCUGAGUCAGCCACAGGCAACAGCAAAAUGCGUCCCCUGCUCUGGACCGAGGAGCAGGUGACAAAUGGGCAACUUGUACUUCCUCUGGAUUUUUUUUUAAUGCUUAGAGAAGAGAGGAGGAAUAUUUAUUAGUAAGGAAAUGGGACUUGUCGGAGCCUAUGAACGCCCCCACACAUGUCUGCUCUCAAGGAAGAAGAAAGACAAGUUAAGGAAUCCAAGACCCCUGGUGAGCUAUGGAGCAAUCUCUCCGGAAAUAAAAUGUGCACCCAAGCAGGGGCUCCAAUCAGACGCUUUCCCCAGCUAGAAAGGGGAGCCACCAGAGGAGAAAAUGAAGCCCGCCGCCCACUGCUGCCCUCAGUCCUGGCUGCUCUGGGGCUCACUUCCAGCCGCAGUCCUUGCUGACCAUCCCUGACCCUCCGUGCCGCCUCAGGAUGAGGACCGGCUCCUUUCUGACCCCAGCACUCAGUACUGCCGGGCUUCGUGUCCAGAUCCUUCCAUGUGGCUGGCACCCUGCCCCUGAUGCUACUGGGCCUCCACUGCACUGUGACCCCUUCUCCCCGGUCUCCUUAGCCAGACACCAUCCCUGCCAUCUGCCUUUCUUGGCCACUCUCAAUAAAAGCUACAUUUCCCAGCCUUCCUUGCUGACAGAUGUGACCCACGGCCAAGGGAUGUGAGCAGAGCCUAUGUAAACAACUUCCAGGUGAUGGUUUUAAAGGAAGGAGCAGGCCUUCCCUUCCUCCUCUGCCUCUUCCCACUGGCUGGACUGCAGACGAGCUGGUGAGAUGUAUGGGUGGUGCCACCAUAAGAACAACAGAGCAGCAACAGAAGACACCUGCAACCCUGACACCGCGGAGUUGCAGUGCUGUCCCAGGACCACUCGUGCUCAGACUGCUACCUGUGAAAGAGAAAUAAAUUCUCACGUAUA